rnacentral:lncRNA from 1 species
CUGUUUACUCUCCACCUCCCCCUCCACCUUCACCUCCACCCCCACCACCUGUUUAUUCUCCACCUCCCCCUCCACCCUCACCUCCACCACCAAUUUAUUCACCUCCACCACCCCCGCCCUCACCUCCACCUCCUUCACCACCGCCACCUCCUCCACCAGUUUAUUCCCCACCACCUCCACCACCAUCCCCACCCCCACCAUCACCUCCCCCACCUCCGCCACCACCACCACCUACUUAUCCGUCACCCCCACCCCCUUCACCAACUUCAUCACCUCCAUAUUGCGUGAGGUCCCCACCUCCUCCGCCACCAAAUUCACCACCUCCACCACCUCCAUUGUUUUCCCCACCACCACCAGUUCCUUACUACUAUAGCUCCCCACCACCGCCCCAUUAUUCACCGCCACCACCACUACACUCUCCACCACCACCGCCACAUUCACCUCCACCACCAAUUUAUCCAUACUUAUCGCCGCCGCCACCACCUCCUGUUUAUUCCCCACCUCCUCCAGUCCAUUCUCCACCACCACCUUCACCUCCGCCAUGUAUAGAACCACCUCCACCUCCACCUCCAUGUGUAGAGUACUCUCCACCACCUCCAUCACCACCACCCCCUAUUCAUUACAAGCCACCCCCAUCACCUUCCCCUCCACCACCACCGGUUGUAACAUAUUCCUCACCACCACCACCACCACCAGUUCAUUACCAUUCACCUCCCCCAACAUCACCGCCACCACCAGUCCCAUGUGAAAACCCACCACCAUCGCCGCCGCCACCACCGCCAAUUGUUUAUGAGAGCCCUCCACCGCCAGCUCCUGUGUAUGAGGGGCCAUUGCCAC